ACAUGAAUUGAAUAUUCAGAAGACAUUUGUUUAAAUAGUUCUAGAAAUCUGAGCUGUUGGUGUGGUAAUAAUAUUAGAGCUGGCAAUCUUUCUUACUGAAUCUCUACUCUGAGUCAUGUUACCUGAGAUUAAUUCUAUGUUUACCUGACAGCCUGGACAAAUGUGCUGUGUGAAGGAUGUAAAUCAAAUCAGAUCUUAACUGCUUACAUUUAAGGAGCCUGGUCAUAUUUAAUUGUAAUAUGAACCAAUGAUUUUCUGAUUGCUGAUUCUAAGAGAGUCUUUGUGGAAAUCCUGUUUGGCUUUUUGUCAUUUUAAUUCUCUUUUCUGUUUUCCAGAACAGUUCUCCACAGUCACUGUCCACAUGGGUCAGUGGGACCAAGAAGCACUCUGCUAAUGUGUGGACUCUGACCAGCAACAUCCAGCAAGACACUCACACUUGCAGAGGUUAAUACACACUACUGAUCCCUGAUGGGAGAAUCAUCACCUCUGCCAACAAAGAAGCCUGGUGGAUGUUUGUUUACAGACUGAUGAUGGGACAUCAUGCUCUGCAUCUUCAAAGUUUGUCUCUUGAUUAUUAUUCAUACACAGUAAUGUGAAGCAUGCUCAUAUCUAGUAUAACUGGACCAACCUGGUGCUCUUCAUUUAUGGAGGCUGUUGAGUCUGAAUGUUGGAUGUUGUGUAUCUCGUGUUCUCUGGGCUUUGUUGUCCUCAGUCUUUUUGCAGGAUCAGAAAACAAAACCAGGAGACCUGUAAAUGUUUCUUCUCCAAUUGGAUGAUGAUAAGACUGUGACAUGGGAUGCCACCUUUAGUCUUGUGAUGAAGCAAAGCUCAGGAAGAAGUGUGAUUAAAUGGUACCCACAUGUGUGCUGCUGAGAAGGAUGUACAGGGGCACCUGCAGCCAAAUCCAAGCCUCCUCAGCAACUUCAAGUCUGUCAGCGUGCUGAGGUCACAGAAACAAGAAAAGCAGCUUCAGACUUCAGAGUGUUGUUUACAGUUUUCUGUCAUCAUGAUCUCCCCUGAAGUUUAUCACUAUUAUACAAGCAAUGGUGAUGGUGUGGAGAGACGGUGGUGUUUCCUCAGAAGAACUAGCAGAGUCACAAAGGGCACCUUGACUUGCUGACUGAUGUUCGUCUGCACUGCACAGAGGAAAUCAACUGACCGAGCAGGAAUGGAGAAAUGGAAUCAAAGGGAGAAGUUUUUGAUGUUUUUGUAAUGAUGUAAGUAACUCUCCAGUUUCUGAGUGAGGGAGAGAGGAGUCAUCAUCCAGGUAAAGUGACGUGGAUCAGUUGAUACACUUGUCUCCCCUUUAAAGGAGACACUCUUAGAGAGAGACGAUCCGAGUCAUCAUAAAAUGUUAGUGCUUUCAAAUACACAAACAUUUUUAAAGGACAAAAUCGAACAUCCCACUUUGACUGUAAUACAAUUAAAUCUUUGCAUGUGUGUUUUCAAACUCUCAGAUGGGCAGGAUAUCACUAUUGGACUGUCUAACCUGCAGGAGCAGCACUGAAUGAUCACCACACAUGAGCAUGUUCCUGCAACAUUCAGCAGCUUUGCUUUUGUGUCAAAUGUCAAACAGCUGGAGAGGAGACUAAACCAGUGUACUGGGAUGUUUCAGCAACGCGUGCCAGAUGCUGUAACUUCAUGGUUUCAUCACCAGAGACAGCCCCGCCCACCUCAGGACCUCGCCAUUGAUCAUGAUGAUUAUAAUAAUGACAGCGAGCGGAACUAAAACUGUAAAAAUCCACGACCAGAAUGUUUAGAUGCUUUCUAAUUAUUAAUGAAUACUGAGAACCUCUUUCUGUGUUUUGUCUGUUUUGUUUUGUUUUGUUUUUUACCUCAUUUGUUACUAACAAAGUUCACCAAACUCACACAGUUUACAUUCUGUAUGUUUCCAUCUUUACCAGCCACACUCUACCUGCAAUCAAGCAAAUAAUCCUUAGAAAUCAUUGCUUUUCUCUUUUGUAAUUGAUGAUAAUUCAGUGAAUAUACUGCGCUGCUUCCUUUUAUUGCAUCACACAUUGCUUUAAGUUUUUCAGUGUCCAGUUAUUUUUUUACUGCUGUUUGAAUUCUCUGCAUGUUUGACCCUGUAGACUGUUUAAUGGACUGCUUGUCUUGUAACCGCUGCCUGUUGUUGACUAAAGAUUUGGAUUUCUGACUUUAACACAGCCUCUGCGUGUCCUCCCUUUGUGUCCUCUUCCUCUGUGAAUGUGUUGCAUGUGUCACAGAUUCAUUUUAUUAACAGCUUUCCCACAGUCAGUUGCAUCAGCAUUCAUUCACAGCACAUUUCAGAAGGAUUCAGAUUAAUACAGUGAUCUUACAGUCAGAAUU